GUAGGCGAUGGGACUCCAACGCCUGGCACCAGCACACCAACACCUGGGACACCAACACCCUCGCCAGGCUCAGGUGAGUGGAGCAGACGAGUCACGGGGCUGCAGCGUUCGGUCAGGGUGGGCUGUGGAGAGGAGGCGGCAGGAGGUGCAUCACUGAACGUUUCCUCUGGUCCUUCCUCUGUCAGGGACCUGUGUGGUGGAAGGAGACCCUCACUACCUGUGACGUUCUCCCGCACAGAUUCUGUGGGAAUGAAUAGUCAGAGAUCAUGGGUGUUCUUUUCUUUUACGUUCCUUGUCCUUAAGUCUUGUGGCUAAGGUUUAAGAUCCUGGACCCUCUCAUUGCCACAGGAAAUCUGCUGGGUGUGCACAAUACUUCCUAGACUUGCAGUCCAGGGAGGCUUGCCUUCUCUGCCAGAGGAGUCCUGCCCAGAAUGUUCUUGUGUGCUUGACAGCCUUGCUUGUGCUUAGUGUGGAAGCAGCCUGUCCAGGGUGUAGUGUCAUCAGCAUUUGUUUGAGUAGACGAGUCAUGGUGCUGCAGUGUUCUGGUCAGGAUGGGCUGUGGAGAUGAGGUGGCAGGAUGUGCUUAACUGGGCAGUGCACUGGGUCUGACUUGAAUGAAGUACCUUCUUGUGCGAAGACCUUUUUUGAUAGUGAUACACAGUCAUUCUUGCUGUACGCACAGUUUUCCAUAAUGUUUGCAUAAUUGGGAAGGGUGGAAGAGCUGCCUGAAAGAAAUCUUCAUUCUGAAAAGCAGCUUCUGUAUCUCCAUCUUGUUCUACAUCCAACAGAUCCUACUGCCUUGCCAAAUGUUACUACACAGCCUCCAUGGACAACAAAACCUGGAGUAAGCACAGUGGCUCCAUCAACAUCUCAACCUGGGACUUCCUUGCCAGUCACCACAACACAGCCUGCACACACUCCAUCACCACCAAGACCUACACCAAGUUCAGGUAUAGCGUUUCUUGUUUAUAAGUCUUUUAUCUUCAGUUUCUAUACUGUCCAUUUGCAUGAAGGUCCGGUAGCAAGUGUACUUCGUCUCUU
rnacentral:lncRNA from 1 species